AGAGAUGUAUAGUAAUAUUUAUUCACAGCUUGAGUUAUUUAUGUAAGGUUAGUCGGGCAAGCAGUGCUCAGUAACAAUAACAUGUAUCAGAAAUAACAGAAUUAAAUAUUUUUUAUUAAAAAAAUGCGCGGCAAACUAAGCUCGGGGAAGGACGAAAAUGCCGCUGCCCUCUUUUGCUUCCGUUAGGUACUUGCAAAAAAAAGAAGCGCGGAAAAAAAACAACACGAGUUUCAAAAUCCAAAGACAUUUAUGUUAUGACCCACCUGAAGCAAAUCACAAGGAAGUACAUAGGGGAAGUAAAUAAGCGAGUAUUCGAGAUGGGAGCAUAAAGGAGUAUAUAGCGACAGCUUGUUGAGGUCUGCCAGCAGGUCCUGUCCGGCAGGGUCCUCGGGCAUGUCGGCGCUGUCCUCGUCCAGCAUGGCGGCGAUGAGGCCGCAGUGGCAGCACACUUGCCGCAGCCGCAGUAGCAGCACCAAGAUCUCGUGGGACUUUACUGGUUUUGCUCCUGUUAAGGUGUUACCAGAAUUGCAUGGGACAAAGCGGAAACAGGGCUACAUAUAAUAUAGGAGAACAUUAACUUUUUAGAAUAAUAAGGGUUAGCUUCGAGCCUCCACAUGACCAAAUCCAAAUAAUUUGAGUCUUUAUAAACAUGGGUUAUGUGUGUAUAUCUUAGCAGUUUUGUAAAAAAAUAAGAAUAGGUUCAUGUUUAUUUCCUUUCCUUUGGACAAAAUUGUUUUAAUUAUUUUAUUUUUUUGUAUUGUUUGAGCAAUUUUGUAUGUUUAGAAUUGUACCUACUGCACGCCGUAAGGCAAAAUGUAUCGGGACUGUUGUAAAAUAUUAUUUCCAGCUAAUUUGUAUACCUACAUUUGGCAAAUAAAUGAUUCUUAUUCUUA